rnacentral:tRNA from 1 species
GAUUCCCUAGUGUAGUGGUUAUCACGUUAGUCUAACACACUGAAGGUCCCGAGUUCAAACCUCGGGGGAAUCA